AUUGAACGCUGGCGGCAUGCUUUACACAUGCAAGUCGAACGGCAGCACGGGGGCAACCCUGGUGGCGAGUGGCGAACGGGUGAGUAAUGCAUCGGAACGUACCCAGUCGUGGGGGACAACGCAGCGAAAGCUGUGCUAAUACCGCAUACGAUCUAUGGAUGAAAGCGGGGGAUCGCAAGACCUCGCGCGAUUGGAGCGGCCGAUAUCAGAUUAGGUAGUUGGUGGGGUAAAGGCUCACCAAGCCGACGAUCUGUAGCUGGUCUGAGAGGACGACCAGCCACACUGGAACUGAGACACGGUCCAGACUCCUACGGGAGGCAGCAGUGGGGAAUUUUGGACAAUGGGCGCAAGCCUGAUCCAGCAAUGCCGCGUGCAGGAUGAAGGCCUUCGGGUUGUAAACUGCUUUUGUACGGAGCGAAAAGGCUCUCUCUAAUACAGGGGGCUCAUGACGGUACCGUAAGAAUAAGCACCGGCUAACUACGUGCCAGCCGCCGCAGUAACAC
rnacentral:rRNA from 1 species